GGCUUGGGGAUCUGGAAUCCGUCGGGCCGUCGGCAGGCUAGUGUCGGCCUAGUGUUUCAUAUACGGUCUGGGAUACACCUAUGCAUACAUGUUCGGCACAUGCUGCUCUACUCUCUCAUCCAUUAUUGCCAUCGUCACCCUCGCUCUCUGUCGUCCUCGUUCCUAUCGCCCCCACCCAGGUACCCAGCCUCACCUCCAAGGCUCCAACGAAGGGAACGCCGGCGGGGAAGGAGCAGGACAGGUCCGGCACAGACUGCUAAUAGGAACUCCAAAAGGAGAUGGAGCUUAAUCCCUACAACAUACGUCGACAAGAGAGAUGGCUCAGUGAUUAACCCAUCUGGCUGGUUAACCGCAUCCGUACAUGAAGAUGCAAUCUGUUCUUUGUGUUCUUGAGCAGCUUUGGGAGGAGGAAUUAGCAAGGAUGAGCGGCAGUGGCAAUAUGCUUGCGUGAGUGAGAUGCCAUGUGGUUUCGUAAGUGAGCACUAGGCAUGUCUGAUGUAAAAAGGGUGUUGAUUAAAGAGACCAUAGUGCUUUAACAUAAUCUUGGCACAAAUUACCUAUCCUGGAAUUUGUCCGUGGUGGUGCUGAGGAAUAAAAUGUCACCACUUGUUCAUUAACA